CCAAAGGCAAUGAUAACCCUGUUUCCCUCACUCCUUGCCCCUUCAGAUCUGGAAGGACACAACAUGGACUUGAAAUGCUUUUUGAAUGUUGCCAGUGCUUUGCUACAAAAAGGAGGCCAUCAUCCUUGGAUUGUGUGUUAACUUCAGAUCUCAUUUCAACAAAUAUCUCAACACACUGCUCAGCAACAACAUAUGUCAUCUUGCCCUUUAAGACCUUGUCACCCACUGCUCCAAAACAGGACACUUCCUCCUAAGGCUAUAGAGACCUGGCCUGCAUGU